GACGAACGCUGGCGGCGUGCCUAAUACAUGCAAGUAGAACGCUGAAGGAGGAGCUUGCUUCUCUGGAUGAGUUGCGAACGGGUGAGUAACGCGUAGGUAACCUGCCUGGUAGCGGGGGAUAACUAUUGGAAACGAUAGUUAAUACCGCAUAAGAGUAGAUGUUGCAUGACAUUUGCUUAAAAGGUGCAAUUGCAUCACUACCAGAUGGACCUGCGUUGUAUUAGCUAGUUGGUGGGGUAACGGCUCACCAAGGCGACGAUACAUAGCCGACCUGAGAGGGUGAUCGGCCACACUGGGACUGAGACACGGCCCAGACUCCUACGGGAGGCAGCAGUAGGGAAUCUUCGGCAAUGGACGGAAGUCUGACCGAGCAACGCCGCGUGAGUGAAGAAGGUUUUCGGAUCGUAAAGCUCUGUUGUAAGAGAAGAACGAGUGUGAGAGUGGAAAGUUCACACUGUGACGGUAUCUUACCAGAAAGGGACGGCUAACUACGUG
rnacentral:rRNA from 1 species